UACGAAGGGGGCUAGCGUUGCUCGGAAUCACUGGGCGUAAAGGGUGCGUAGGCGGGUUCUUAAGUCAGAGGUGAAAUCCUGGAGCUCAACUCCAGAACUGCCUUUGAUACUGAGAGUCUUGAGUAUGACAGAGGUGAGUGGAACUGCGAGUGUAGAGGUGAAAUUCGUAGAUAUUCGCAAGAACACCAGUGGCGAAGGCGGCUCACUGGCCCGGAACUGACGCUGAGACGCGAAAGCGUGGGGAGCAAACAGG
rnacentral:rRNA from 1 species